GUGGGGAAUAUUGGACAAUGGGGGGAACCCUGAUCCAGCCAUGCCGCGUGUGUGAAGAAGGCCUUUUGGUUGUAAAGCACUUUAAGCGAGGAGGAGGCUACCGAGAUUAAUACUCUUGGAUAGUGGACGUUACUCGCAGAAUAAGCACCGGCUAACUCUGUGCCAGCAGCCGCGGUAAUACAGAGGGUGCAAGCGUUAAUCGGAUUUACUGGGCGUAAAGCGUGCGUAGGUGGCCAAUUAAGUCAAAUGUGAAAUCCCCGAGCUUAAGUUGGGAAUUGCAUUCGAUACUGGUUGGCUAGAGUAUGGGAGAGGAUGGUAGAAUUCCAGGUGUAGCGGUGAAAUGCGUAGAGAUCUGGAGGAAUACCGAUGGAGAAGGCAGCCAUCUGGCCUAAUACUGACACUGAGGUACGAAAGCAUGGGGAGCAAACAGGAUUAGAAACCCUGGUAGUCC
rnacentral:rRNA from 1 species